AGCGUUGUCCGGAUUAUUGGGCGUAAAGCGCGCGCAGGCGGAUUGGUCAGUCUGUCUUAAAAGUUCGGGGCUUAACCCCGUGAUGGGAUGGAAACUGCCAAUCUAGAGUAUCGGAGAGGAAAGUGGAAUUCCUAGUGUAGCGGUGAAAUGCGUAGAUAUUAGGAAGAACACCAGUGGCGAAGGCGACUUUCUGGACGAAAACUGACGCUGAGGCGCGAAAGCCAGGGGAGCGAACGGGAUUAGAUACCCCGGUAGUCCUGGCCGUAAACGAUGGGUACUAGGUGUAGGAGGUAUCGACCCCUUCUGUGCCGGAGUUAACGCAAUAAGUACCCCGCCUGGGGAGUACGACCGCAAGGUUGAAACUCAAAGGAAUUGACGGGGGCCCGCACAAGCGGUGGAGUAUGUGGUUUAAUUCGACGCAACGCGAAGAACCUUACCAGGUCUUGACAUUGAUGGACAGAACUAGAGAUAGUUCCUCUUCUUCGGAAGCCAGAAAACAGGUGGUGCACGGUUGUCGUCAGCUCGUGUCGUG
rnacentral:rRNA from 1 species